CCUACGGGGGGCAGCAGUGGGGGAUAUUGCACAAUGGGGGAAACCCUGAUGCAGCGACGCCGCGUGGGUGAAGAAGCGCCUCGGCGCGUAAAGCCCUGUCAGCAGGGAAGAAAAUGACGGUACCUGCAGAAGACGCCCCGGCUAACUACGUGCCAGCAGCCGCGGUACUACGUAGGGGGCAAGCGUUAUCCGGAUUUACUGGGUGUAAAGGGGGCGCAGACGGGGGUGCAAGACAGGGGGGAAAGCCCGGGGCCCAACCCCGGGACUGCUCUUGGAACUGAGUGGCUAGAGGGCAGGGGGGGCAGGCGGAAUUCCUGGUGUAGCGGUGAAAUGCGUAGAUAUCAGGAGGAACACCGAUGGCGAAGGCGGCCUGCUGGACUGCAACUGACGUUGAGGCCCGAAAGCGUGGGGAGCAAACAGGAUUAGAUACCCGAGUAGUC
rnacentral:rRNA from 1 species